UGUAAGGAUUUUUUUUUUAUUUAGUAUUUUUAUUUAGAUUUUUUUUUUUAUUCAUUGGAUAAGUUUUUAAGAAUUUUGGAGCCCUUAUGACAGGUUUUUUUCUUUUGAAUGGGAGGGGGGCUUGUAUGUAGUAGUCACGGCACUGUAUAUAAGAUAUAUACAAUGUAUAUUAAAUUAUAUACAAUAUAAAUAAAAAAAUAUAUUUAUUUAUUAAUUUUAUAUAAUUUAUUUAUCAGUAACUAAAGGAAUGUUAUCAAUUUAUUAUACGAAUGUUAUCAAUUUAUUAUAAGCAUGUGCUUAUCUAUUACAAGUACAUUUUAAAACGUUGAAAUAAACGUCGAUUAUAAAAUUAAAGGUUAUCUGUUUCUACCUUCGAUGGUGAAAAUUACAUCUUUUAUCUGAAGGGUGUUAAGAGAAAUCUUCAUAUUGAAACAAGAUAUUGUGUAAAAAGGUUUUCAAAGAAGUCGUUUUAACAACAAUGGAAAAGCUUCCAAUUCCUGAGAUAACCGUGAAAGCAUUCGAUACAUGAUUAAAGAAUCGUUUAAAAGUUUGCUUAAUUUCGACAGUGUAAUUUUAAUUACUAUUUUUUUGAAAUAAACCAAUCAAUUUAUAUAUAAA